rnacentral:lncRNA from 1 species
UAUAUGCCAUCCCUGGGUGUAUGUGGGUCUUGAGGGUGCUGGUGGUGUGCUGCUGACCAUGAAGGCUGUCUUCAGCAGGAGAGGCUUCUGAGAGGAAAACAGGCUGAUGAUUAAUGAACAUAUCUCUUAUAGGAGAGGGUUUUGUGGUUUGGUUUAUUUAGCUUAUCAAAGGAAGGUUAAGGAUGACUUGACCAUGGCCUGUACACACCCAUGUGAUGAAGUGAACUUUAAUAAUGGGUGCUUUCAUCUAUCAGGCAAAGAUAUAACGAGCAAAAGAAGAUAAGAGAAUGAGGUGAAGUUGUGUGAAUGCCACCUUGGAGCUUUGCACAAGGAGACGUUGUCCACAAGACAGGAUCAUGGGAAUACAUGUGCUACCAGAGCCUUGAUAGCAAGGACAGGCCUGAGAGAUGCAAAAACUAAACAUGCAGUUGAUGCUGGUGUGCUGGUGGAGCCAUGCAGCAGGAAGUCCAUGACUUUCUUAGGAAUGAUGGGUGUUGAUACAGAUCUCCUCCACUUUCUUUUGGUCUUUGUGGAAGGCAAAAGAAACAAAAUACAUAUGUAACGCUGCUGCUGUGAACACGUGAGAGGAGGAAAAAAAAAAAAAACAACUUCUGAAAUGCGGAAACCAUUUGUUCAGGUCUCCAAGGAAAAUGAAGUCAAACCAAACAAG